GACGAACGCUGGCGGCGUGCUUAACACAUGCAAGUCGAACGAUGAAGCCCUUUCGGGGGGUGGAUUAGUGGCGAACGGGUGAGUAACACGUGGGUAACCUGCCCUGUACCCUGGGAUAAGCCUUGGAAACGAGGUCUAAUACCGGAUAUGACCUGCUCUCGCAUGGGGGUGGUGGAAAGUUUUGGCGGUGCAGGAUGGACCCGCGGCCUAUCAGCUUGUUGGUGGGGUGAUGGCCUACCAAGGCGACGACGGGUAGCCGGCCUGAGAGGGCGACCGGCCACACUGGGACUGAGACACGGCCCAGACUCCUACGGGAGGCAGCAGUGGGGAAGUAUUGCACAAUGGGCGAAAGCCUGAU
rnacentral:rRNA from 1 species